UACGUAGGGGGCAAGCGUUGUCCGGAAUCAUUGGGCGUAAAGAGCGUGUAGGCGGCCCGAUAAGUCCGCCGUGAAAGUCCAGGGCUCAACCCUGGAAUGCCGGUGGAUACUGUCGGGCUAGAGUCCGGAAGGGGCGAGUGGAAUUCCUGGUGUAGCGGUGGAAUGCGCAGAUAUCAGGAGGAACACCAAUGGCGAAGGCAGAUCUCUGGGCCGUAACUGACGCUGAGGAGCGAAAGCAUGGGGAGCGAACAGG
rnacentral:rRNA from 1 species